GAUGAACGCUGGCGGCGUGCCUAAUACAUGCAAGUCGAGCGAACGGACGAGAAGCUUGCUUCUCUGAUGUUAGCGGCGGACGGGUGAGUAACACGUGGAUAACCUACCUAUAAGACUGGGAUAACUUCGGGGAACCGGAGCUAAUACCGGAUGAUAUUUUGAACCGCAUGGUUCAAAAGUGAAAGACGGUCUUGCUGUCACUUAUAGAUGGAUCCGCGCUGCAUUAGCUAGUUGGUAAGGUAACGGCUUACCAAGGCAACGAUGCAUAGCCGACCUGAGAGGGUGAUCGGCCACACUGGAACUGAGACACGGUCCAGACUCCUACGGGAGGCAGCAGUAGGGAACCUUCCGCAAUGGGCGAAAGCCUGACGGAGCAACGCCGCGUGAGUGAUGAAGGUCUUCGGAUCGUAAAACUCUGUUAUUAGGGAAGAACAUAUGUGUAAGUAACUGUGCACAUCUUGACGGUACCUAAUCAGAAAGCCACGGCUAACUACGUG
rnacentral:rRNA from 1 species